GCGCACUUGGCAGGCCCUUGGGAAAAACCUCAGCCCCAACAUUUUUUAUUUGACAAAGGGGUGCCAAACACCGCCUUGGACAUGGAUCUUGGGUAUUAUCACCGGGGCGGUUUCUUACCAAAUUGAUCCGGUGGAGCCCGAACUUUUCCUAAUGACGGUCCGACUUCGUCAGGCCCGUGCCAUGGCAUAAGCAAGCUAAACUGCGAGACAGUCAAGUCGAGCAGGUGUGAAACCAGGUCAUAGUGAUCCGGUGGUUCUGAAUGGAAGGGCCAUCGCUCAACGGAUAAAAGGUACUCAGGGGAUAACAGGCUGAUCCCGCCCAAGAGUUCAUAUCGAGGGCGGUGUUUGGCACCUCGAUUUCGGCUCAUCACAUCCUGGGGCUGAAGUAGCUCCCAAGGGUACAACUGUUCUCCAUGUAACGUCAAAAAUUAGCUGGGUAUAGCAACGUCCUUAACACCAAUCUAACGGUUC
rnacentral:rRNA from 1 species